CGCAACCCCGUCCAUUCCCCUCCCCCGACCCCGAGCGGUCGAGCGCCGCCUCCGCCGGCUUCCGUCGUCGACCACCUCCUGGUGCUGCCGUCGUCAACCACCUCGCCGUAGACCACGAAGCCGCAGUACUGGAGGGAAAGAGGAGAAGAGGAGGGAGCGCAGCGCGUGUAGCUGCCUGCCGUCGAGUUGAGGGUCGAUCGCCGCCGUCUCCACCUGUCCGCCGUCGACCACCUCCUCGCCGGCUCGCUGCUGUCGAUAAGAGAUGACCACGAAGCUGGAGGAGGGGGAGGAUGUGCCUGCACCUGCACGCCGUCUCCCCUGCACCUGUUCGAUCUCCUCUGUCCUCUCCUCUGCAUUAUCCCAUCUCUGACCGAGGUAUUCAGUGCCAAAAUUUUCAACAAUUAGUACUGAAUUGUUAGCAGUUCGUACUGAUCUAUUGAGUGUUGAAUACACCAUUGUUAGCAGUUAGUACUGAAUUCCAAAAUUUUCUUACAUCAUCUUUCAUCCAUUCUUCAGCUUGUCAUGGUAAAUCUAUAGCAUAACUUGCUUAUUUAUUGUCGAUUCCAUCCUCUUUUGAAACAAGCAUUCUAAAUGUUCAAAUUAGUCUCAUAUAUGCUGUAUUCUUGGUCCAUUUGCUUUACAAAAUAUAAAAGGAUGACUAAACAGUGGCUAAACAGAGCCAAAAAUCCUCCCAGCGCACUCCCAGGAUACAAAUUCAGUCGGUCCAGUCGGUCCUCUCGGUCUUGACCGAGCUUUGCUGCAGCCGGUCCGGUCCUGAAAAUAUGAACCGCCAGCCACUUCGGUCCGGUCCGGACCGGACCGGCCGCGGCCGGUCCAAAGCAGGGCUCGGUCAGGGACCGGACCGGCCCGGACCGCGUCCACCCCUACCCACAAGCAGCCCACUUUGGCCCAGGAGCAUUUUCAAACGCUCCUGGCGAACCGCCUGGAUCGAGAUCACCAUGGACGCCGGCUUCGCCACCGCGGCCACAUCCGGCGCUGAUCUAGGCCCUGCCCGACGUCCUUUUCUUCUACUCUUGACGGUAAUCCACGACUCCGGCCGGAUCAGAUCAAAAAGUGUGAGGUUCGGGAGCCUUACCUUAGGUAUGGGGCCCUUCCAUGGCCGGAUCGCCACCGCCGACGUCCUCCGAUGAACCACACAUCGAAGCAUUUCCGUCUUCUCCUCCGCAUCUAGCCCAACCCUAGCCGGAUCAUCGGGAGGCAGAACUUUGUCAAUCAUAGUUGCCACUUCAUCUUCAUCGUAACCUGCAUUCAAAAAAUCACACAAAAAGUCGGACAGCGUCGGCGAUGGCGGAGGUGACGCCGUUGCAUCCGCGUCCUCUUCUCCCUCGUCCUCGUCCUCGCCGGCUAAGUCCCAGAAGCCAGAACCGGCCGCCCACCCUCCGAUGGUCGCCGGAGGAUGGAGGCGGAGGCCCCGCGGUCACCCCGCCCGCGCCCCUUCCAGUCGCCAUCCUCAACCGAGUUGGAUUCCGCUGUGGCAGAACAAUGUCAAACUUGCGAAGGUGUACAACAUAAGUUGUUGGCAAUGACCAAGUUGAGUUGAAAGAAUGGUCUGAUGAUCUUGAGCAUGCUAAGUUGGUUGAGACAGACAGAAGUCUGAGGGAGCAAGAGCAGAAAGACGCAGAUGUCGCGAAGAUGUAUGAAAAAAAUGUCAGUCCGCAAGAAGAACAAGACCGCGAGGUUGCAAAGAUGUAUCAAAAAUUGUAUGAUCCAAAUGCUAAGUGUGGCUGGAAGGCAACUGAGGUGAUGCAAGGCAUGGUGGUCAUGUAUUAGACACGAAUCAACUAAUCCCCGAGCUAUGCGGAUCGCCUCUCGGCGGCGUCUGACUCUGGCUCCUUGCUGGUCGCCGACCCCGGCGGGCACCUCUGGAUCCCGUUUUUCCUGCCUUGAUGCAGAGGAGCCGUCGCAAGAGGCCGGCGAUUCUUCCCUCGACCCUCCUGUUUUGUCUUCUGCAGUUCGCCGGAGGAAAAUGGACGAGGAACUGGCGGAAGAAUUCUGGGCUGACAUCGGCUACCCCACACCUGGGUCCAGGGUUUGGGAGAGGCCUUCAGUUCGCCAGGUAGGUGUUUUUUCUUCUGUGUGCAGGUCGGACAAGAGCGGAGAUCCCUCGCCGACCUCGUUGGAGGGCGUGGUGGCCUCCUCUUCGAAUGUGGCGGCGACGGCUGCAGAUUUCCCUCGCGGUGUCCCCGGGGUUCCUGGCCGGUCGAGGCCUUUGAUCAAGGCCUGGACCGGCCGGGUCCCGCCACCUCGGUUGUCACCGCUACGAACGCUGGGCGAUCUUCUGCCGCGAGCAUGUCUCGGCGAUGGAGGCAGUUCGCCGGAGUUCUGUGGGCCCCCGCAACUCUCGGGCCAACCUGGACGGGCCGUCUCUACGCUAGCUGUUGCCGAUCCGACAUCGGCGGCUGCAUCAGGCACGUAGGUGUAUCCUGUGCGUCCACUUCGGAUGGUGGAUAUCGGCCGUUGGCUUCGUCAUAUGUGGAACAGGAAGGCCCAACGGGUGAACCCUAAUUUCGAUCGUACCUUCGCUGCCGUCGUCGCCUCUCCUACGAUGACGCGCGGUGACCCUUCUGCGCCGCCGGGCAUCACCACCGGCCAGCAGCCCUUGCAGCCCCCUGCUUCUUCCCAGCCGGUUUCUUCUCCGACGGGCGGCGCGCCUGGCUUCACUCCGGGUGUCUAUCAACCGGUGCAGGCCGUGCAGCCGUAUGGGACGCCGGGUGGUUUCGGGCCGGAGCAACAGCCUAUGCAGCAGCCAGCAACAUAUCAACCUCACUUUCAGCAGCCGACAUCUGCAUACCGGCUGAACCAGAGUGUUGCAUGGGCUGGAACUAUUGCUGCUGCAUAUAACCAGGUGACUACUGAAGAAGAACCGGCUGCUGAUGCAUGUAUUUGUGCUGUGUCUUGACUUCUUGAGCAGCCCACGCUGUAUGUAGUUUGACUAUGCAAUUGUUGAAUCUAGCGGAAUGAGGUUUAUUCUAUAUGGGUUGGCAAUGUUAGAAUUAAACAACGUGCUCAGCUCAUGAAUGCAGAACAAAUGUUGGUCUGUCAAUCAACAUUUAGUAAUCUCGGAAUUCCAAUCCAUCAUAGACGGUUAACGAACAAAGAAUGGAAAUGUAUAGAAGAUUGAUUCGAAAAAAGAUUAAACUGCUGGAAGGGCAAGCUAAUGUCUUACGGAAGGCGGCUGCUGUUGAUUAACUCGGUUUUGAUGAGUUUGUCGAUGUUCCUCCUAUAUUUCUUUGAAGUACCGGUAGGGGUACGGAAAAGAUUAGCCUUUUACAGAUCCCGAUUCUUCUGGCAAAGCGAUGAGGCCAAAAAGAAAUAUAGACUGGCUAGAUGGGAUAUCAUGUGUGGACCAAAAGACCAGGGUGGAUUAGGGAUCGAGAAUUUAGAGGUAAAGAAUAGAUGUUUCCUUAGCAAAUGGCUAUACAGACUAUCUACGGAGACCAAAGGCAUGUGGGUACAAAUCUUACGAGAUAAAUACCUACAUACUAAGACUUUGACCCAGGUGAAUGCAAGGCCAACGGACUCACCGUUUUGGAAAGGGUUAAUGAAGAUAAAAGUAACUUUCUUUGAGCGGGUGAAGUUCCUAAUUGGUAGUGGUACCUCUACUAGAUUUUGGGAGGACACAUGGCUAGGGGAGACGCCUCUGGCUUUAUAAUAUCCUUCCCAACGUAAGGAGGAUUAUGUCGCCAAGUAUUAAAUUCGGUACCACUUAACAUCCAGUUUAGGAGAUCUCUUGUAGGGGAACGUUGGAAUACUUGGUUACACCUGGUCCGUAGGUAGAUGGAUGUUCAACUUUCAGACGAGGCGGAUAAAAUUAGUUGGAAGUUAACCACAAAUGGAUUAUUCUCUAUGAAAUCCAUGUAUUUGGACUUAAUUGACUCCGGGCCAUUGUAGAGAUCUUUGCACAUCCGGAAGAUUAAAGUUCCACUCCGCAUCAAAAUCUUUAUGUGGUUCGUCCACAAAGGAGUCAUCUUGACCAACGAUAGUCUGAUGAAAAGUAAUUUGGUUGGUAACCCCAGAUGCUGUUUUCGUGAUCAAAACGAAACAAUUAAACACCUCUUUCUCGAGUGCCCACUUGCAAAAUUGUUAUGGCGAUCUAUUCAUAUAGCUUUUAACAUCCAACCUCUAAUGAGCAUAAACACGUUAUUUGAGACGUGUCUUAAUGGAGUAGACAUACACAUAGUUAAACAUAUCGGAUAGGGAUAUGUGCUUUAUUGUGAGCUAUAUGAAACACUAGAAAUGAUAUAAUUUUUAAUGGUACAAGAUUCACCAUUUUUUGCAGGUUAUCUACAGAGUUACAGCCUGAAUCCAUAUGUGGUCGUUACUCACUCAUGGGGACUACAUGGGGCCUAUGGUUAGCAUGGGCUACCUUCAGCCGAUUUGGAUGGCGAAUUAAUAAUAGGCUAGGUGUGUACACAUCGUAGACUGUUUUCUAUCGCCAGAUGUGGCGCUAUACAUAUUUAUUUUCUCCUUUUUUCCUCGGAUUUUGAGCUUCCUUGGAUGUUAAGACUCUGUUGCGACUUCUAAUAAUAUGGCUGCAUGCAUCGACUGAUGCAGAGGCCGGAGGUAUUCCUCCUUUUCAAAAAAAUAAUCAACAUUUAGUAAAAUAUGAAAUUUCUG
rnacentral:lncRNA from 1 species